rnacentral:rRNA from 1 species
CGCGUUGGGAGCUCUCCCAUAUGGUCGACCUGCAGGCGGCCGCGAAUUCACUAGUGAUUCGUAUACCGCGGCUGCUGGCACAGAGUUAGCCGGUGCUUAUUCUGUCGGUAACGUCAAAACACUAACGUAUUAGGUUAAUGCCCUUCCUCCCAACUUAAAGUGCUUUACAAUCCGAAGACCUUCUUCACACACGCGGCAUGGCUGGAUCAGGCUUUCGCCCAUUGUCCAAUAUUCCUUACUGCUGCCUCCCGUAGGAGUCGGGCCCGUGUCUCAGUGCCCGUGUGGCUGAUCAUGCUCUCACAUCAGCUACUGAUCGAAGGCUUGGUGGGCCUUUACCCCGCCAACUACCUAAUCAGACGCACACCCAUCUUCAAGCGUCGUAACUAUAAUAGUAGUAUGAUGCCAUCCCACUAUCUUACGGGGUAUUAAUCCACAUUUCUAUGGGCUAUCCCCCUCUUAAAGGAAGGUUGUGUACGUGUUCCGCACCCGUUUGCCGGUCGCCAGCCCUAUAUUGCUAUAAGCUGAUGCCCCUCGACUUGCAUGUAUUAAGCCUGCCGCUAGCGUUCAUCCUGAGCCAUGAUCAAACUCUAAUCGAAUUCCCGCGGCCGCCAUGGCGCCCGGGAGCAUGCGAC